rnacentral:rRNA from 1 species
UACGUAGGGGGGCUAGCGUUGUCCGGAUUUAUUGGGCGUAAAGAGCGUGUAGGCGGCCAGAUAGGUCUGCUGUGAAAACUCGAGGCUCAACCUCGAGAUGUCGGCGGAAACCAUUUGGCUAGAGUCCGGAAGAGGAAAGUGGAAUUCCUGGUGUAGCGGUGAAAUGCGCAGAUAUCAGGAAGAACACCCGUGGCGAAGGCGGGUCUCUGGGCCGAUACUGACGCUGAGGAGCGAAAGCGUGGGGAGCGAACAGG